GAAGAGGAGAGAGGGAAGGAAAAGCAAGAGAGAGGGGAAGACAGCUUCAGAUUCAAUCCCUUAGUGAAACACAGUUUACUGAGCUCCUACCAGCUCCCAGGCAUCAUUCCAGAUUCUGGGACAAGAACAGAACUAAGGAAAGCUGUGUCUGCUCUUGGAGAGUUAGAACCCAAACCCCUUCCUCAGGAUCCAGCAACAAACAAGGAACCCAGGAGAUGAGCAGGACAACUUCAGACUAAUAGGAUACUACACUGAGCACCUUCAGCUGCCACCUAAAAAGGAAUGCUACCCUGAGACUACCAUAUAAAGAGACCAUGUGGGGAGACCUUGAGAAAGCUGCCAGCUGUUUGAGUCUUCUUAUACCAGGUCCAAGGGAGAAUGAAGACAGACCUCUUCAUUUUUUCCAAGGGAACCACUCAGCAGACAUCAUAGGUGAGGAGCAUGACAGAAAUGACCAGAAGUGUCCAUCAGCACUAGCCCUGGACAGGUGACCAAGAUUUCUAAGGGCUACAACACAGAGAUUAGUCCUCAGAUUCGACACCCAAACAGAGUAAAUCAGUACCCGCUUGUCAGACUCACUGUGUCACCUGAUCAAGUCUAGUCAGAGGUCUCUCCCUGUGAGCACUUAAAAAAAAAUAGAGUGAAUGAUUGUCUUACAAGUAAAAUCAUUUACAAAAGGAGUUGGAUAAAUCAGGUAUAGAAGCAGACUUGGAAUUAUGGGAAGAGAACCAGGGUAAACAGGUUUUCCUGGGGCCACACAAACAGAUCAGAUCCUUUCUACACACCAGUAAGUGCUGGUGAGCUGGAUGAAAUACAAGCAGAGCAUAAUAAGAACCUGAAAGACUUUUCAGAGGAGGUGAUAUUUAGGUUGGACACUGACGAAUGAGAAGAAUUUUGAAUGAUGCUCAAGCUGCAGGAAAAUACGCCAAGCAGAAAGAAAUACAUGAGCAAAGGAAGGCAAAGCAGCAUCCAUUAUACGGCUAAUGAGACACUGGCAAAGGAAAAUGAUUGGGAAAGAAUAAAACUGGUCCUAGAGAGAUGCUAUUUUUACAAUAAUUUUCCAACUAAAAGCUGUUCUUGAGAAGUCAUCCAAGUACUGGAAUACAGUCACACCAUUUCUGUGCAAUCUCAGGAUGAGAAAACAACUAAUUAACACAACAGGCUCCAUGCAGGAUGAGACUGCACCAAAGGAAUGGUUUAAAAGGUCUGGCAAUUCAGGGAAACAAAGUCAUUUGCUUUUAUAGUUUAAAUAAUUUCACCCUCCAUGGUUUCACAAUUCUUUUUCUUCAUUCCACACUAAGACUGUUUGGUCCCACUUGGCAACUCUGGAACUUCUUUGUGCAUGUGUGUUUCUCAGCAAGAACAACAACAACAAAAAAAAUGUGGCUGAGGCUGAUUUGUAAUAUUUCACUGUGGCUUUGAAUCAUGGAUGAUAUCAGCACAGCUACAGAAAUUGGGUUUGUCAGUUAAACUUCCCUCCCUGCCGGCUAAGCAGCAGAGCAUGAAACAUAAACCAUACAGAAACAAUG